GAUGAACGCUGGCGGCGUGCCUAAUACAUGCAAGUCGAGCGAACAGAUGAGGAGCUUGCUCCUCUGACGUUAGCGGCGGACGGGUGAGUAACACGUGGAUAACCUACCUAUAAGACUGGGAUAACUUCGGGAAACCGGCGCUAAUACCGGAUAAUCUAUUGAACCGCAUGGUUCAAUAGUGAAAGACGGUUUUGCUGUCACUUAUAGAUGGAUCCGCGCCGCAUUAGCUAGUUGGUAAGGUAACGGCUUACCAAGGCAACGAUGCGUAGCCGACCUGAGAGGGUGAUCGGCCGCACUGGAACGGAGACACGGUCCAGGCUCCUGCGGGAGGCAGCAGUAGGGAAUCUUCGGCAAUGGGCGAAAGCCUGGCGGAGCAGCGCCGCGUGAGUGAUGAAGGUCUUCGGAUCGUAAAACUCUGUUAUUAGGGAAGAACAAAUGUGUAAGUAACUAUGCACGUCUUGACGGUACCUAAUCAGAAAGCCACGGCUAACUACGUG
rnacentral:rRNA from 1 species